rnacentral:lncRNA from 1 species
ACACUGAGUUUGAAUAUAAAAAAAAAACAUAACAGUGAGUCAAACCCAAUUUUACUCGUUUUAGGGGUCCAAUUCAAAUCCAGAUAUCAGAUGUGCAGUCUCCGCCGGGAUAUCUCAUCUCGUGGGCAAGCGCAGGACCAUCAGGUUCUUCACCAAAGUCCACAAAGAAAUCAGGGUUUAUUGAGAGACCACCUUUCUCUGUAUCAACAUCAAUCUGAAUUAUGUGUGAUCCUUUAUCCAUGAGUUCUGGGUAAAACUGACGGUCCCACGCGCUGAACAGUGAGUUUGUUGCAUACAAUCGUUUACCAUCAAGGCUCAGCUGGAUCAUCUGAGGUCCUGCUCGUAGAGAUUUCCCCUACAAAUACCCGAGAUAUUAAAGAAAAAUGUGCUCCCAAAUGAAUGUUUAUUUUUGUAAGUAAAACAAACCUUGAUCUGAGGAACAUCAAACUGGUAAGUGGUACCAUCUUCUCUAACCGCCUUUACAGGGCUGCCUUUUUGUAGUAAUCCGCCCACCCAAAUUUGACCAGUUAAGACAGGGUUUUUAGGGUCUUCAAUGUUGUACUGACGAAUGUCUCCAUGAAGCCAGUUCACAAAGUAGAAAAACCUAUCAUCGAGGGAGAUCAAGAAGUCGGUGAUAAGCCCCGGCAUUUCUGGAAGAAUCCAGUUCUCUACUUUCAGUGGUUCAACUGAUAUAACCACCUACCAAAAAAUAUUAGUGGCAAAAGGAUAUGUUCAAAGGCAUGGUGUUGACUAUGAUGAAGUCUUUGCACCAGUAGCUCGUAUUGAGACAAUCAGAAUGAUCAUAGCUCUUGCGGCUUCAAAGGAAUGGGAGAUACAUCAUCUGGACGUUAAGACAGCGUUCUUACACGGAGAGCUGAAAGAAGAAGUCUAUGUUACUCAGCCGGAAGGAUUUGAGAUCAGAGGAAAGGAAGGAAAAGUUUAUAAACUGCACAAAGCUCUCUACGGUUUGAAACAGGCCCCUAGAGCAUGGAACAUAAAACUCAACGGGAUCUUGAAGAAACUAGGUUUCGUGCGUUGCUCAAAAGAGCCCUCGCUCUAUAGGAAAGAAGAAAAGAAAGGCUUGCUUGUUGUCUGUGUGUAUGUCGACGAUCUUCUUGUCACAGGUUCAUCUUUGGGUUCGAUUAUCAAGUUUAAACAAGAGAUGGCUCGAACGUUUGAGAUGAGUGACCUUGGUAGAUUGACUUAUUACUUAGGCAUUGAGGUACGACAAACCAAUGAAGGAAUUACAUUGUCACAAGAACGAUAUGCUCAGAAGAUUCUUGAGCAAACCGGAAUGAAUGAUUGCAAUCUUAUACACAUACCAAUGGACGUGAAUACAAAGCUGUCAAAAUCGCCUCAAGAACAGAGUAUCAACGAAAGAGAAUACAGAAAGAGUAUUGGCUGUCUCCGUUAUCUUCUGCACACACGACCCGAUCUCUCUUACAGCGUUGGUGUGCUUAGUAGGUACAUGCAAGAACCGAAACAAUCUCACGGUGCAGCUCUAAAGCAAGUGUUGAGAUACUUGCGCGGAACGACUUCUCUUGGUUUAAGGUUCUCGCAAGCAACAGAACAAGAAGAACUAAUAGGGUUUAGCGAUAGUUCGCACAACGUAGAUGAGGAUGAUGGCAGAGCUACAACUGGACAUGUUUUCUAUCUCGGAACCAGUCCUAUAACCUGGUGUUCUCAGAAACAAGAAAUUGUAGCCUUGUCAUCUUGUGAAGCAGAGUUUAUGGCUGCUACGGAAGCUGCGAAACAGGCAAUAUGGCUCCAAGAACUUAUGAGUGAAGUCGUGGGGCAUGAAAGCAAGAAGGUGACAAUAAAAGUCGAUAACAAAUCCGCAAUCUCGCUCACCAAGAAUCCUGUAUUCCAUGGUAGAAGUAAACACAUUCAUAGAAGGUAUCAUUUCAUACGAGAGUGCGUCGAGAAUGAACCAAUUGAAGUGGAGCAUGUUCCGGGAAGUAUGCAAAGAGCCGACAUUCUAACAAAGUCCCUAAGCCGAGUUCGUUUUAAAGAGAUGAGGAGUCUUAUUGGAAUGCAAGUAGUGUGUGAGGAUGAAGUCAAGCUUAAGGGGGAGAAUGUUGGUUUAAGCUUGAAAGAUAGCUUAAAACACAAGCUAUCCUAAAUUGAAGUGUUAUGAUUAUCCAUAAGAGAAUAGGAAAUAUUGAAAGUGUGAUUACUAAUAGGAUUAGGAUUAUCUAGUCUUAUAUAUUGAAGUGUAAGGUGUUGAAUCAACUUACGGAUUGUGUGAGUGAUUGAGCUUUAGUUUUGAGUUAUUUUCUAAAGCAAUACGAAAGUGUUUGAAGUGAUUUCGAUCUUUGAUUUCUAUAUUUAAAUCUUGCACCACUGGUAAUGCUCAAACCUCAAAAGAAAGGGACGUAGGAGGUUCUAUUAUCACGGAUUAAGAACAACAAUAUAGAAGAAAAAAACUUUUCAUUCUGGUCGAUUCAAAACACAUGAAUCUAGCGACUUCUUAUUUAUUACACUCUGGAAAACAUAACAAUGAGUCAUUUUUUUUGCUUAAAAACAUAACACUGAGUUUGAAUAUAAAAAAAAAACAUAACAGUGAGUCAAACCCAAUUUUACUCGUUUUAGGGGUCCAAUUCAAAUCCAGAUAUCAGAUGUGCAGUCUCCGCCGGGAUAUCUCAUCUCGUGGGCAAGCGCAGGACCAUCAGGUUCUUCACCAAAGUCCACAAAGAAAUCAGGGUUUAUUGAGAGACCACCUUUCUCUGUAUCAACAUCAAUCUGAAUUAUGUGUGAUCCUUUAUCCAUGAGUUCUGGGUAAAACUGACGGUCCCACGCGCUGAACAGUGAGUUUGUUGCAUACAAUCGUUUACCAUCAAGGCUCAGCUGGAUCAUCUGAG